rnacentral:rRNA from 1 species
GACGGGUGAGUAACGCGUAGGAAUCUGCCUACAGGUGGGGGAUACCGUUUGGAAACGAACGUUAAUACCGCAUGAUAGCUUUGGCUUAAAGGUGGCUUCGGCUGCCGCCUGUAGAUGAGCCUGCGUAAGAUUAGCUAGUUGGUGGGGUAAGGGCCCACCAAGGCGACGAUCUUUAGCUGAUUUGAGAGGAUGAUCAGCCACACUGGAACUGAGACACGGUCCAGACUCC